AUGAGACUCCUUCGGUUUAGAAGCCAUAUCUUUCAGGUCAUCCAGAGGUGCCCAAGCCACACCAACAGAGAAGAUAGUGAUUCCUACAAUGAAAACAUUUUAAAGUGAAUUGAAAAUCAGGUCUAGCUAAUAUAUGGAAUUAUGUCUAUAUGUUUUCCAUACACUGUUACAUAGUUGCAGCGAAAACUGCUUACUAAUUUCUGGACAAUUAAAUCCCCUGAACAAAUUAAGUUUUCACAGUCAUUGUGACGAGAGUGGCAAAAGAGUGGUCCAAACCAGAAACUCUGCUAUAUCUGUAAUUCGCCACAUUAACAGUAAAUGCGGAUGGUGAAAAUUUUCCGUAUGAGGUUGGCCUGCAUCAAACAGUAUACUGGAGUCAGAGUCACAAUCCAUUAAAGCAAGGAAGAAUGGCACAAGAGAUGGGAUAAGUAAAUAGCAAAAGUGUUCAAAGAACAAGGACCUUACCUGCAUCAUGUGCAGCAGCUGCAGGGCCUUGGACAUCAUCAUAGGACUGCCCAUCUGUGACAAUUACUAGGAAGUUCUUGUUGGGGCUCUCCCUUAUAGGGCCAAACACAUUUCUAACAGUGAAGGAAAUGGCAUCACCAGUAGCUGUUCCACCACUCAUAUAGCGGAUGUUUCUGAUGACAGCUAGGACAUUCUCUUUGGUGCUAUAGUCAGUGAAACUGAACUCCGUGCGCUGAUCAUAAGUAAACUGUACAGCAGCUAUCUUGGCACCAAUGUCCGAGAUUUCAAAAGUCUUGGCUAUGUUGGAAACAAAUUCAAGCAUGAGGCGGAAAUUGCUAUCUCCAACACUGCUGGAGCCAUCAAUUAGAAAGGCAAUGUUCACUGAGUUAUAACAGGUCUUGCUGCACAUCAUUUGUUCAUGAGUGCACAGCUUCUGUACCAGAGGCUUUACGUAUUUUGUGGUGCCAAACCAGUUGGGCAUGUGGUAAGAGAAGAAGCCAUUAUUCCGACAGACAGCCUAAUGGGGGAGACACAUAAAAGAUAUCCAAAAGGAUCAAAAGUUGUUUCUUCUUAAAAACUGGAAAAUCCUGAAUGUUUCAAGUUAAUCUAGAUAAGAGGCAGUCAGCACUGCACUUAGAGGUCCAAAAUGGAAUACCCAUCACUGUAACAGAAGAUAACCCUCACCACUUUACCUUGUCAACAAAUGUGACAUCCUGAACCAUCCCCAGUUCUUCAGGGAUAGGCUUGGCCACAGAAACUAUAAAUACAUUGACACCAAACUCUCUGGCCACAAUGCCUGCUUCCUCGAUGUCAUCAGAAGGCCAACCAUCAAUAAAUACCACCACCAC
rnacentral:lncRNA from 1 species